UUUGAUCCUGGCUCAGGAUGAACGCUACCUACAGGCUUAACACAUGCAAGUCGAGGGGAAACGAUAGAGAAAGCUUGCUUUUUCUAGGCGUCGACCGGCGCACGGGUGAGUAACGCGUAUCCAACCUGCCCACCACUUGGGGAUAACCUUGCGAAAGUAAGACUAAUACCCAAUGACGUCCAUAGAAGACAUCUGAAAUGGAUUAAAGAUUUAUCGGUGAUGGAUGGGGAUGCGUCUGAUUAGCUUGUUGGCGGGGUAACGGCCCACCAAGGCGACGAUCAGUAGGGGUUCUGAGAGGAAGGUCCCCCACAUUGGAACUGAGACACGGUCCAAACUCCUACGGGAGGCAGCAGUGAGGAAUAUUGGUCAAUGGGCGAGAGCCUGAACCAGCCAAGUAGCGUGCAGGAUGACGGCCCUAUGGGUUGUAACUGCUUUUAUAAGGGAAUAAAGUGAGUCUCGUGAGACUUUUUGCAUGUACCUUAUGAAUAAGGACCGGCUAAUUCCGUGCCAGCAGCCGCGGUAAUACGGAAGGUCCGGGCGUUAUCCGGAUUUAUUGGGUUUAAAGGGAGCGUAGGCCGGAGAUUAAGCGUGUUGUGAAAUGUAGAUGCUCAACAUCUGCACUGCAGCGCGAACUGGUUUCCUUGAGUACGCACAAAGUGGGCGGAAUUCGUGGUGUAGCGGUGAAAUGCUUAGAUAUCACGAAGAACUCCGAUUGCGAAGGCAGCUCACUGGAGCGCAACUGACGCUGAAGCUCGAAAGUGCGGGUAUCGAACAGGAUUAGAUACCCUGGUAGUCCGCACGGUAAACGAUGGAUGCCCGCUGUUGGUCUGAAUAGGUCAGCGGCCAAGCGAAAGCAUUAAGCAUCCCACAUGGGGAGUACGCCUGCAACGGUGAAACU
rnacentral:rRNA from 1 species